rnacentral:rRNA from 1 species
GNNNUANGCUCUGUACACGUGGACACCUACCCUCCGGACGGGUAUAAACCCGGGAAACUGGGUAUAAUCCCCGAUAGAUCUCGGUCGCUGGAAAGCCCCGAGAUCGAAAGCUCCGGCGCCAGAGGAUGGGUCUGCGGCCUAUCAGGUAGUAGUGGGUGUAGCGUACCUACUAGCCUACGACGGGUACGGGUUGUGAGAGCAAGAGCCCGGAGAUGGAUUCUGAGACACGAAUCCAGGCCCUACGGGGUGCAGCAGGCGCGAAAACUUUACAAUGCCGGCAACGGCGAUAAGGGGACCUCGAGUGCCAGGUUACAAAUCUGGCUGUCGUGAUGCCUAAAAAGCAUUGCAUAGCAAGGGCCGGGCAAGACCGGUGCCAGCCGCCGCGGUAACACCGGCGGCUCGAGUGGUAACCGUUAUUAUUGGGUCUAAAGGGUCUGUAUCCGGCCGGAUAAGUCUCUUGAGAAAUCCAGCAGCUCAACUGUUGGGCUUUCAGGAGAUACUGUCUGGCUCGAGGCCGGGAGAGGUGAGAGGUACUUCAGGGGUAGGGGUGAAAUCUUGUAAUCCUUGAAGGACCACCAGUGGCGAAGGCGUCUCACCAGAACGGACCUGACGGCAAGGGACGAAAGCUAGGGGCACGAACCGGAUUAGAUACCCGGGUAGUCCUAGCCGUAAACGAUACUCGCUAGGUGUCGGCCACGGUGCGACCGUUGUCGGUGCCGUAGGGAAGCCGUGAAGCGAGCCACCUGGGAAGUACAGCCGCAAGGCUGAAACUUAAAGGAAUUGGCGGGGGAGCACCACAACGGGUGGAGCUUGCGGUUUAAUUGGAUUCAACGCCGGAAAUCUUACCGGGACCGACAGCAAUAUGAAGGCCAGGCUGAAGACUUUGCCGGAUUAGCUGAGAGGUGGUGCAUGGCCCGUCGUCAGUUCGUACUGUGAAGCAUCCUGUUAAGUCAGGCAACGAGCNCGGGNACCCNGAA